AACGAACGCUGGCGGCAUGCCUAACACAUGCAAGUCGAACGAGACCUUCGGGUUUAGUGGCGCACGGGUGCGUAACGCGUGGGAACCUGCCUUUAGGUUCGGAAUAACUCAGAGAAAUUUGAGCUAAUACCGGAUGAUGUCUUCGGACCAAAGAUUAAUCGCCUUUAGAUGGGCCCGCGUUGGAUUAGCUAGUUGGUGGGGUAAAGGCCUACCAAGGCGACGAUCCAUAGCUGGUCUGAGAGGAUGAUCAGCCACACUGGGACUGAGACACGGCCCAGACUCCUACGGGAGGCAGCAGUGGGGAAUAUUGGACAAUGGGCGAAAGCCUGAACCAGCAAUGCCGCGUGAGUGAUGAAGGUCUUAGGGUUGUAAAGCUCUUUUACCCGAGAUGAUAAUGACGGUAUCGGGAGAAUAAGCUCCGGCUAACUCCGUG
rnacentral:rRNA from 1 species